CUUUAUGUUGUUCUGGCUGCGCGCUGCUGCGUUUGAAAUUUCUGGAACCGGCGUAUAGUAACCGUUGUUGCUAUUUUUCUCUGCCUCUUACUUCUUUCCAACUUUAAUAUUUGAUCCUUUCGAUACAUAAACUGUUGAUGUGAACAGAAAACUUGAAUUUCAUUGUUUUUUGCGACAGAAUUUCAAAUUUUUAUAAGCAUAUGUUUUUAAAAAAAUACUGAAAGUUUGUCUUUGCAAUAUGGCUGCCCUGAACAUUGUUAAUACAAAACAGCACUUUUAAUGCUUUUCCAGUUGAGUUCUGUAUAAAAGUCAGAUUUUGAAAUCUUCUGUAAGGUCGAGAUAAAAGAUAUAAUAAUGAAAUCUGAACAGUUUGCUUUGUUUGGUUUUUCGGAUCAUCCUGAUGAAUCUGAUUCUGAAAGUAUUGAUGGAGAAGACUUGCCACCUAAUCAAGUUAUGGAGGAUCCAGUAAAUGAGCAUGUAGUAGGUGAAGAGAAUGGUAGUUCAAUUGUUCAUCCAGGAGGACUUAAUCUGGCGGGACAAAGCUUAGUAAUUACUGAGAGCGCUGACGGAUCCGAAAUUCUUAUUUUUUUGGAAAAUGAUCCAGCUUUGAGUCAGCAUCUUUUAAAACAAAAUGCAAGUGUCAAUUCCAUUGAGAGUGGUAUAUGUGAUGUCAAUCUCAGUGAAGAAGAUUCAAAACAAAAGGAUAAUACCAAUCCCAAUGAGGAUGAUUCAAAACAAAGGGAUAUUGGUACCAAUGAAAAAGAUCCAGAAGAAGAUAAUGUUAAUCCCAAUGAGGAUGAUUUAAAAGAAGAGGAUAUGUAAUAUUGAGGAUGAUUUAAAUCAAAAGAAUAGAGGAGAGUUGGGAGGAAUGUGACAGAUUUUUAAAAAAAUAAUUCACUAGUUUGGAAUUCAGUUUACAAAAAUCUAACAGUAUGUUUUUAAUUUAUUUUUUAAAAAAUAGCAAAACAAUAAGCUUUUAUUUGUUUAGUUAAAAAUUGUAGCAUUUUUAUCCCACACUUCCCUUAUACGAGGGAGGUAUGGGACAAUGUUUUAAAAAAAUAAAAAUUACUAAAUAUUUUUUUUAAUCCUUUUCAUUUAAUGAAUUAUGGUUUUGAACAUGCCAAACAGGAGCUGAUUUUGAAAUCUUCAUUGGUGCUGCCACAUCUUUAAAAGUUUUCUUUUGCAACCAUCUCCACUGAUUGUAAUUUGCUAUUAUUUCGUAGAUUUUCUCUAACUGGGUGUUUUUUCUGACAUUUUUAUAGAAUAUAUAAAAUUAGUAAUUCUUUUUAAUUUAGUGCAACAAAAGCUUUAAUAAAUAACUUUCAGAAUUUAGCUUUUUUUUCUUUGUUUAAAAUUUAUUAAAUUUUAUUAUGUUUGCAAUAGAAUUUCCUUUAACCGAAAUUAAGUGGUAAACAUGAUUUUAUACAGAAGGAUCUACUGUAUGUGUACAUAAUUUAUAAGAUACAAUUAUUAACAAAACAUGUUUAGAUACACUGGUGCUCUUAAGUGAACUUUUGAAAAAGAGUGGAAUUUUGUUUUAUGCUUUUUGUUUUGGUUAAUGUUAGCUGAACGUGAAUCAUUAGCAUAUUUAGAAAAUAUAUUGAAAUGUAAGCAAGUAUGUCCCAUUCUUCCAUCUGUAGAAAUUUUCUUCCAAAAUGUAUAUCACGUAAAAUAUGCUAUAUUUAAGCAUAAUAUGAUUGUUAGUUUGUAAACAUAUCUUUGAGUUAAUUAUAGGUUUAAUAUAUUUUUAUUUUACAACUAAUAAGAUUAUAAAAAAUUAUUGAAAAAAUAAUAUUUGUAUUUACUUCUGAGGCAUAAAAAUCUGUUUUCUAUUUUAAAUACAAAUAAUAUCAUAGAUGGUGUAACAAUUAUGAUCAAGCAAGGGACUAUAGCUGCUUUAUUUAAUAAAGAAAUUAGAAAACGAUACUGAUCUUUUAUUAAUUCAUAAAUGCAGCUGUCCCAUUCCUCCCAACUCUCCUCUUGUAUCAGUUGUAUUGAAGAUGUUUCAAAGCAAAACGAUUGCAUUAUUUUUAGUGAUAAUGAUUCAUAUGCCUUAUUUAAUGUUGAUUAAAUUCAAAAUUUGGAUAGUAAAAUUUCUAAUCUCUUUUUAAAGAAAUGCAAAUUAAAUUAAAAUGCAAUGAAAAAUAAAGGUUGAUUUAAUAAUGGUAGUGACUGGAUAUCUCAAUGGAUAUUGUCCUAAUUCAAAACUUGGGUAACAAAAUUUCUAGUCGAUCUUCAAACAACUGACAAAUUGAAAUUAAGUAAAAAGAUAAUUUUGAUUGCGAUGAUAAAGAUUCAGAUACCUUAAUGGACAAUGACCAAAUUCCAAUAUCAGAUAAAAAUUUCCGAUCCUUCUUUCAAUAACUGCAAAAAAGAAAUUGAAUCUACAAAUUCUGAAGAAGGCCUGCUUUGACAUUCAGACUCGUCCUGAAAGACUUCUUUUAUCACGUGGUGAUAAUUCUAAACAAAUAAGGUCUUUCUUUUCUGUAAACUGUGAAUAAAAAGAUCAUAAUCUUAAUAAAUUUGAAACAGCUUCAGUUUGUUAGUUCAAGUACAUUAAAGAAGGCCGUAUAUGAAUAUGAAUUUGAAAAAGUUCAAGCAUUUUAAAUCUUAAGUUGAAUCACAAUACUUCUCUGUGUGCACAGCCUUCUGAUAUGAGAAAUGCUAAUGUUAUAAAUACAGGAGUUGAUGCCAAUCAAAUCUGUCAGGCAGUUGGUUCUGUUGUUGAAGGUUUGAUUGGAAAUCUAACAUUUCAUCAAACAUUAACUUCUGUCCAUAAAACAUAAUGAAAAUCUUCCUGGCAAUCAAAAUAAUGAAACUUUCUAUGAUAAUUUUCAAGAUUUGUUUCUUCAGGAUUCACAAAGUGAUGAAAAAAUUCAGAAAGGUGUUACAAAUUCUGAUGAAGAAUGAAUUAAAAAUAAGCAAAAUUCUGUUUGUAUUGAGAUAAACCCUACUGAUCAGGAUGAAAAAAUCUGAAGAAAAAAUGGUUGUGAAUAAUAAUACAAACAAGAAUAUGGAUUUAAAUUUAUUUGCUUCUGAUGAAAUUACUGUGAAACCAGCACAAUGAACUUAUGUUUGUAAAAAGAGAAUUUCUGAUUCAGGAAAAGAUAUUGAACAGUUUUCUUUAGAUGAAUUAUCUGAUCCUAAAGAUGAAAUCUCUUUGUAUUCCCCAAAGAUUUUUUUGCCUUGACAACAAAUUAUGAAAGAUGAGAACAUUUGGACUGAUGAGAAUGGGUAUGUUAAUUUAAUCCUUCUGACAUGACUGCAGAAUAAGACUAUGAUCUUCAGAUCAUUUUGAAAUAGCUCCUGAACCUGUUAAGGAUACUGAAGAUUCAUUUAGUAUAUACUGGGAAGCCUGUUUAAUGGAAGCAUCAUUAAACCUAGAAAUACAGGGGAAAAUGGAAGAGGAUGCACCAAAAGCAUCCUGUUCCAAAGGUGUAAUCUCCGAAAAGUUUUCUUGCAAAGACAAUUUGAAAUCCUUCAUAUUAAAAUAUGUUAGAAAUGGACAACAAUGGGACAAGCUAAUUGAAAGUUCGCCAGUUAAAAUGAAGGAUGUAUCUUAAGAAAAAAGAAAAAUUAGGGAGAAAAUAAAAAACAGGUAGAAAAGAACUCUUUGUAACUCUGAAAAUUUUAAUAGAUCACCUUCUGUCUCUAAAUAUAAAAACAGUCGGCUAUGUAAGCUUAGUAAAAAAUAUAUAUCUAUUUUACAUUCAACAUUUUCUUCUGAAAUGAUAAUAACUUGUGGUAUUGAGUUUAUUAAUAAUAAUUCAAUAAAAAAAAAUAAUUCUGGUGCAAUUGAUGAUCUGAAUAUUCUUGCAACAGCAUUUGAAUAAUUUCCAAUGUAAUUGUUCAAAUUGUGAUUUUGUUAGUAAUGGAAUAAAUAAUCUUAUUAUCCACUUGAAAUACUUUACAUUUAAGCCUUCAACCAAUAUGAUAAAUUAUCGAAUUAAUGACAUGGAAAAGAGACAAUGAAUACAUGGAAAUUUCACUGAAAGUGAUUUUCCUGUAGAGAAAGAAGUCUUUGAGUGUUAUGAUAGCUUAUUGAUUUAAUGACAUGGGAAGGAAGACGAGAGAUACACGGAGAUUUCUCUGAAAGUGAUUUGUCUGUAGAAAAGCAUUCAAGGGAUAUAUCAGAUUAUUACCUUAGGGACUUGGAAGGAGAUAUUGAAUAUGUGGAGAUCUCACUAAAAGUGAUUCACCUGUAGAGAAGCAUUCUACUAAUAUAAUAGACUACCAAGUUAAUGACAUGAAAAGGAGACAAUGGUUAUGUGGAAAUAGAAUUGAGAAGAGUUCCAUUUCACAGAAUUUUUCAAGUGGUUCUGUUAUUGAUUAUUACUUCUAGUGUGCUGUUUGUAUUCCUGGUGGAACAUCCUGUAGUCUGCCAAAUCAUUUAGCUCUUGCAUGUGAGGUUAUUAAUUCUGAGCCAUCUAAAGAUAAUUUGCACAACUUAUUUUGCGAAUAUGGAAUGAUUCUUUCAAAUGAUCCUAUAUCUGUUCAUUCUGACAUAUACUAGUUACGAUUCACUGUAGGUUAGUUGGUCGAGUUCUAUUAGUGUGCUAGUUAAAUUCUAUAGUCUAUUCUCAGCUCUGUGUUAAAAGUGCAGUCACUGAAGCCUCACAGAGAAGAAAAGCAAUUUGUAUGUGUCAAAUGCCAAGAUCUUCUUUCCCUUAUUUUGAAGAAGCAAGAACAACCAUUUAUAAAUUACAAAGAGUGAAGCCAGUGAAAGAUGUUGAACUAUAUAUUUACAGUUGAUUGCAAUCGAUAUUCUCUAUGUGCUUUGUUAUUUAUGUGUUGAAUUGGCUGCCACGAACUAUCAUUUAUAAAUUAAAAGGAGUGGCUCCAGUGAAGAUGUUGGACUAUAUAUUUACACUUGAUUGCAAUCGAUAUUCUAUAUGUGCUUUGAUAUUAUCUGUUGAAUUGGUCACCAUGAACAUUAAAGUUAAUCUGGAAAUUGGUGAUUUUAAAUGAUAUAAAUGUUUAGUCAGUUUCAUCAGAGAUAAAUCAUUUGUUGUGGUUUAAUUUUCUUGUUAAGAAUUUCAUUCAUAUGUAUCUUUUUGAAGUUAUUCCUAGCACUUGCCUCCUGUAGAUACUUAAUUAAAAAAUCUUUUGUGUGAGUUGUUCAAAAA